rnacentral:rRNA from 1 species
UACGUAGGGCGCGAGCGUUGUCCGGAAUUAUUGGGCGUAAAGAGCUCGUAGGCGGCCUGUUGCGUCCGCUGUGAAAUCCCGGGGCUUAACCCCGGGCGUGCAGUGGAUACGGGCUGGCUGGAGGCAGGCAGGGGAGAACGGAAUUCCCGGUGUAGCGGUGAAAUGCGCAGAGAUGCGGAGGAACACCGAUGGCGAAGGCAGCCCCCUGGGCUAGCACUGACGCUCAGGCACGAAAGCGUGGGGAGCAAACAGG